ACAGCCCGGCCCCACCUGGGAUCGCCCCUGCUGGAGGCCGACGGGCCACCUGGAGCCGGUCCCCGCCUCCCGGAGCCCAUCCCAGAGUGAGGAGGUGGCCGCCAGCCCCGCGCCUUCUACCCUCACCUGUGAGUGUGCGUCUGCAGGGGAGGGGAGGAGGGACCCCUGCCAAGAGGCUGGAGAGACGCAGCUUUCCCCAGGGCUGGUGGUCUUGAAGGUGCUCCCCGGUGCCCGUCAGCCGGGUCCCCAGGGCCUCAGCGGAGGGGCCGGGGCCCAGACUGGCAGGCAGCCCAGUGAGGCCCGGAAAUCUUCCCUGUCUGUAUCUUCUCCCCUUCUGCACCACCCCCCUCCCCAGGAGCCCGCCCAUCCGCGCGGGUUUGGACUCUCAGCGUUUGGCCCCCGCCGUGAGUCGAGGAGGGAGAGACUGGCCCCGGGAAUAGCUGCGUAUCAGGAAGUGUGUUGCACGGGUAGGUACCGGGUCCGUGCUGGGUGAAGUGGGGACCCCCUCCCCCCACCGCCUCCCCGGUUCCCUCUGCGCUCCUCUGCAGUCCAGAAAUGAUGCUUCUCCGAGUGGACGGUUUAACCGCAGGCCUGGUACGAAGAAGCCAUGAGGGCUUCACACCCCUGGAUGUCUUCCCGACUGAGACGAGAAAAGGCCCUUCUGAGCCAUCAGCUUCCUUCGAACGAGCAGAUGGAAAGGCAGCAAAAAACAAAGGAUAAGCUGUUGUGUGAAGUGUGACCACCUCCUCCCAAGUCGCCACACCUGCAGGCCCUUCCAGAGGCGGCCGCUGCUCUCACCUCAUCGCCACAGAUUCCAUUUGUCUGUUCGUGUGUCCGUUAGCGUCUCCAGCACUUUCUGUGGGAGCUCAUUCCCGUCUUCCAGGCCUCAGCUCAAGCAUCACCUCCCCCCCUUCCGUGUCCCUACCCUGUCCCUGUUUUUCAGAGCACGUCACAGUUUGCAGUUUCUGUUGGUUUGCACGUGUACAGUUCUUCUCCCCAACUAGAAGAAACGGCCCCUUCCCUCGGGAGACAGCCCAAAGCCGUGUCCAGGAUCUGCAGAUCACGUACGCUCUUCUCCCUUGGGGCCACACGCCACUCUCAUGUUCUGGUGACCAACCAACUAAGGGGGGUAAGUUGUCUGCCCCACACCCCACACCCAACACACAGUUGUGAAGUAAAAAUACUGAAACUCCCACUGAGAAAAGGGAGGGUGCGGUAGCCCCUGGUCCAGAGAAGCGACAGUCUCCUUGCUGUGAGACAGGCUUUGUGAGGGCUCCCUGCUCCGGGAAGGGUGAUGUGCCCCGAUCAGGUUCGGGCCUGACCUCUGAAGGGCAGGCUCUGCCCAUUUCUCUCCUUGAUCUCAUCCUCACCUCAGAGGAGUCUUUCCUUCCCGAUGACCGCCCCUGACUACACCUGAAGAGUUCUCUGAGGAGGAAGCCCUUCCCCUUGACGACAUCCAGCUCUCGGAGCUGUCCGCCUUGCGCGCAUGUCUGCCAGAGUCAAAGAAGUUUUUAAGGGUGACUUCAUGAUGUCCCUGGCGCUAAUUCUCUAGAAGGUUAUGGGCUUAAUGAGGUAGAGAGAGCUGUGCAAAGGGCAGGCCUACUGGAAACCCACACAGAGAUGGGUUGGACACAGGAGCCUGGCCCGUGGGGGGCAGUGCAGCCUGGAGAGGGACACUGGGGAGCCAUCGCCACAUCGCUGGCCUUUAUCAGCAGGCCGGCGCAUGUAGACAGGCCAGGGAAGAGGUCCAAAGACCGAGCCCUGGGUCACUCCAGCGGCCGGAGAGGUGGCGAGGCGCCCACUAGCAGGUGAAAGGAAGGGCCUGGGAGGAGGUGAAAAUCCAGAAAAGUGUGGUGUCCGGGAAGACAGGUGACAAACGUGUCUCAAGGCAGGUGUGCUGAUGGGUCACUAAGGUGGCCCAGCUGUCCUGGGCCUCCAUCUGUCCUGGGCCUCCACCUGUCCUUGGCCUCCACUUGUCCUGGGCCUUGAGCUGUCCUGGGGCUCCAGCUGUCCUGGGCCUCCACCUGACCUGGCCUCCAUCUGUCCUGGCCUCUAGCUGUCCUGGGCCUCCAGCUGUCCUGGGCCUCCAGCUUGCAGAUGGCAGAUGGAGGGACUUCUCAGCCUCUGUAGCUGCACGAUAAGUCUUUCUAUAGAUCUACAUAGAUCCUGCUGGGUCUGUGUGGCCACCCCUGACAAUUACAGGGCAUCCUGGGAAGAGAAGGGGGAGGCGUGGUGGGCUUAGGGAGGAAGGAGGGGCGAUGUGCUGGAAGAGCAAGGGGAAAACCUGGCCCGUGCUGGCCCGGAGGGGAGGACAGGCGUCACCUGAGCGGCCCCCAGCUGCUGUGCCCUCAGGACCGAGCCUGGUUUGGCCUGAGUGUGAAGGUGAAGAGCGCAUUCAGGGAAGAGGCUGUAAAUGUAGGAAGCCUGG